CCACCUUUGUACACUGCCAUGCAGCUUAAAGGCAGCUGCAGAGGAGACUGCCUGAAAGUAAGCUGAAAAAAAUGUCAGCUAAGGUCAGGAGGAAAUAAGCUGCUCUGCAGUGGGGAUAAAGCCAGGCUCUGUACAUGUGGCAUGGCUGUUUGCUUCCAGCGUAAUUAACUUCCUCAGAAGAAAAGCAAGUUUUGAAGAGUGUUCUAGGAGCAGCAGACAAAAAGAAGAGAUUAUGUUGAAGGCUACGCCGAAUUCUUUUAGGAUGUAUUAGCAGAAAGGUUUCACCUAAAGCACAGCACACUGUAACCAUUCACACCUAGAAUGAACCUCACCACUCACGGAGAAAUCAUAGCAAAUAGCAGAUCUGACAUGGGAAUAUGGAGACAGGAAGACAGCUAAUCUAUUAAGCACCAUUUCCCACCUAUUUCUGACAUGCACACUGGAGUUUGCUCAUUGUCAUUGUCAGACAACCUAAACUGUUCAUGCUGUGACCCAGAAAUGUCAGUAAGGGAUUGCUGAGAGGAACCAGCAUGAAGAAGAUACUCCUGACACAGACUUCCUACUCGCCAGACAAACAAGACAGACUGCAGGUCAGAGCAGAGAGCUAAGGAAGCACUAAAUAGGAUGGGGCAACAGGGAAACAGCAGUGUGAGCCACCAAUGUGCCCUGGUGGCCAAGAAGGCUAGUAGUACCCUGGUGUACAUUAAAAAGAAUGUGGUCAGUAGGUCAAGAGAGGCAAUCCUCCCCCUCUACUCUGCCCUAGUGAGUCCACAUCCAGAAUAGUGUGUCUGAUUCUGGGUUCCCUGGUGCAAAAGACAGGGAUUUCCUAGAAGGAGUCCAGUGCAGAGUGACGGG
ensembl:lncRNA